AUACGGAGGGUGCAAGCGUUAAUCGGAAUUACUGGGCGUAAAGCGCACGCAGGCGGUCAAUUAAGUCAGAUGUGAAAGCCCCGAGCUUAACUUGGGAAUUGCAUCUGAAACUGGUUGGCUAGAGUCUUGUAGAGGGGGGUAGAAUUCCACGUGUAGCGGUGAAAUGCGUAGAGAUGUGGAGGAAUACCGGUGGCGAAGGCGGCCCCCUGGACAAAGACUGACGCUCAGGUGCGAAAGCGUGGGGAGCAAACAGGAUUAGAUACCCUGGUAGUCCACGCUGUAAACGAUGUCGAUUUAGAGGUUGUGGUCUUGAACUGUGGCUUCUGGAGCUAACGCGUUAAAUCGACCGCCUGGGGAGUACGGCCGCAAGGUUAAAACUCAAAUGAAUUGGCGGGG
rnacentral:rRNA from 1 species